AAUAAAAUGGCAAACAUAAUUCCGAAGAUUGCAAUUAUCGGCGAAGGAGUCAUUGGAUGUACUUCAGCACUUCAAAUAUCAAAAGCUAUACCAAAUGCGAAAAUAACUGUGCUCCACGAUAAACCAUUUAAAAAAUCGUGCAGUGCAGGACCAGCAGGAUUAUUUAGAAUCGAUUAUGAGGAGAAUACGUGAGUGAAUACGGACGUGCUUCUUUCGCCUGGUUCUCACAUCUCUAUCGCACUACAAAAGGAUCCGAAACCGGCGUGAAAUUAGUUUCUGGACAUAUUCAAUCCGACAACUUGGAGUCAUUGAAGCAACAACAAAGAGCCUAUGGCGAUAUUGUGUACAACUUUAGAUUCUUGGAUGAUAGAGAACGGCUGGACAUUUUUCCCGAACCAUCAAAGCACUGCAUUCACUACACCGCCUACGCAUCAGAAGGUAACAAGUACGUGCCUUAUUUGAAGAAUUUGCUGCUUGAGCAAAAAAUCGAGUUCAAGCAACAAGAAGUGACGAGUUUGGACGCAGUCGCCGACGCUGGUUACGAUGUUAUUGUAAACUGCGCAGGCUUGUACGGUGGAAAGUUGGCUGGUGAUGACGAUACUUGCUACCCCAUUAGAGGAGUCAUUUUGGAAGUUGAUGCACCAUGGCACAAGCACUUCAAUUAUCGAGACUUUACUACUUUCACAAUUCCAAAAGAGCACAGCGUGGUGGUUGGGUCCACCAAGCAGGACAAUCGAUGGGAUUUGGAGAUCACCGACGAGGAUAGAAAUGAUAUUUUGAAACGAUACAUUGCUUUACAUCCUGGAAUGAGAGAGCCAAAGAUUAUCAAAGAAUGGUCAGCACUUCGCCCGGGACGUAAGCAUGUCAGAAUUGAAGCGCAGAAGAGGACAUCUGUUGGAAACUCAAAAGAUUAUAUGGUUGUGCAUCACUAUGGUCACGGGAGCAACGGAUUCACGUUGGGUUGGGGAACAGCAAUUGAAGCAACUAAACUUGUUAAGACUGCACUAGGAUUAUAAAUAUUUGUUCAAGGGUUUCAGUAAAUUAAGGUUAUAUUUCAAUAGACUCGACGGGUCAUAAGAAUAAUUAAAAAAACAAC